GGGGAUUUAGCUCAGUGGUAGAGCGCUUGCCUAGCAAGCGCAAGGCCCUGGGUUCGAUCCUCAGCUCCG
rfam:Rattus norvegicus chromosome X, whole genome shotgun sequence.